CAGCCUGACCUACGGCGCGGCGGCGGGGUCAAACGGGCGGAGCGCAGGGUGGUGCGUGCGCAGCGCGCCCUGCGGCGCCUUUGCUCAAAACUCACGACUUCUGGCUCUAGAUAACCUUCUCUAGUUUGGCCGGCCUUUUGAUGAUGAAUGUGAACAUGUUGAAGAAGCUCAUAUAGCAAAGGACUGCAGGUGGCCUCUAGGAACAUCAGGAUCCCCCCAGCCCCUAGCUGGCAAAAAGAUGGAGCCUUCAGUUGUACAGCCCAAGGAAAUUAACCGCCCUGUCAACCUGAAUAAGCUUGGAAGCAGGAUCUUCCCCGGUUCUACCCCCAAAAGCGGACACAAGCAGAGGAGUGGGGAAGAAUCUGAGGCAGGCUCCAC